rnacentral:rRNA from 1 species
UAAUACGAAAGGAGCGAGUGUUAUUCAGAUUAACUGGGCGUAAAGGGCACGUAGGUGGUUUGUUAUGUGUAUUGUUAAAUUUUAAAGCUUAACUUUAUUCUGCAGUAUACACAGCUAAGCUAGAGUUAGGUAGGGGGUAGUAGAAUUUCUAGUGUAAAGGUGAAAUUUGAUAAAAUUAGAGAGAAUACCAGUGGCGUAGGCGACUACCUGGGCCUUAACUGACACUGAGGUGCGAAGGUAUGGGUAGCAAAUAGGAUUAGAUACCCUAGUAGUCCAUACAGUAAACGAUGAAUAUUAAAUGUUGGAAUUUCAUUUUCAGUAUUAUAGCUAACGCGUUAAAUAUUCCGCCUGGGGAGUACAAUCGCAAGAUUG